GGCUAUGUAGCUCAGUUGGUUAGAGCACAACACUCAUAAUGUUAGUCACAGGUUCGAAUCCCGUCGUAGCUACCA
rnacentral:tRNA from 1 species